CGGCGGACGGGUGAGUAACACGUGGAUAACCUACCUAUAAGACUGGGAUAACUUCGGGAAACCGGAGCUAAUACCGGAUAAUAUAUUGAACCGCAUGGUUCAAUAGUGAAAGACGGUUUUGCUGUCACUUAUAGAUGGAUCCGCGCCGCAUUAGCUAGUUGGUAAGGUAACGGCUUACCAAGGCAACGAUGCGUAGCCGACCUGAGAGGGUGAUCGGCCACACUGGAACUGAGACACGGUCCAGACUCCUACGGGAGGCAGCAGCG
rnacentral:rRNA from 1 species